GACGAACGCUGGCGGCGUGCCUAAUACAUGCAAGUCGAACGCAGUGGGGACGGGUGAGUAACACGUGGGUAACCUCCCAUCAGAGGGGAUAACACUUGGAAACAGGUGCUAAACCGAUACUGAUGGAUGGACCCGCGGUGCAUUAGCUAGUUGGUGAGGUAACGGCGCACCAAGGCCACGAUGCAUCGCCGACCUGGUAGGGUGUUGUGCCACACUGGGACGGAGAAAGGGUCUAGAAUCCUACGGGAGGCAGCAGUAGGGAAUCUUCGGGAAUGGACGAAAGUCUGACCCAGGAAAGCGGCGUUAGUGAAGAAGGUUUUCGGAUCGUAAAACUCUGUUGUUAGAGAAGCGGUAUCUAACCAGAAAGCCACGGCUAACUACGUGCCAGCAGCCGCGGUAAUUC
rnacentral:rRNA from 1 species